rnacentral:rRNA from 1 species
CCUACGGGAGGCAGCAGUGGGGAAUUUUGGACAAUGGGGGCAACCCUGAUCCAGCCAUUCCGCGUGAGUGAAGAAGGCCUUCGGGUUGUAAAGCUCUUUCGCAAGGGAAGAAAACUUAUGAUCGAAUAAAUCAUGAGGUUGACGGUACCUUGAUAAGAAGCACCGGCUAACUACGUGCCAGCAGCCGCGGUAAUACGUAGGGUGCGAGCGUUAAUCGGAAUUACUGGGCGUAAAGCGUGCGCAGGCGGUUUUGUAAGUCGGAUGUGAAAUCCCCGGGCUCAACCUGGGAACUGCGUUCGAAACUGCAAGGCUAGAGUGUGUCAGAGGGGGGUAGAGUUCCACGUGUAGCAGUGAAAUGCGUAGAGAUGUGGAGGAAUACCAAUGGCGAAGGCAGCCCCCUGGGAUAACACUGACGCUCGUGCACGAAAGCGUGGGGAGCAAACAGGAUUAGAUACCCUGGUAGUCCACGCCCUAAACGAUGUCAACUAGUUGUUGGUAGAGUAAAAUCUAUGAGUAACGUAGCUAACGCGUGAAGUUGACCGCCUGGGGAGUACGGUCGCAAGAUUAAAACUCAAAGGAAUUGACGGA